GCGUUCGGGUAAUCGCUGCAGCUUUGCUGUAGAGGAAAGUCCAUGCUCGCACAGGCUGAGAUGCCUGUAGUGUUCGUGCCUGGCGAAAAAAUAAGCCAGGGCAGCCUUUUGGGCUGACGGCCGGGAAAAUGCCUAAGUCCUUUGGAUAUGGUAUGAAUACCUAUAAAAGUGCCACAGUGACGGAGCCUUCCUGGAAACGGGAAGGGUGGAACGCGGUAAACCCCACGAGCGAGAAACCCAAACUAUGGUAGGGGAACUUUCUCCGCGGAAUUCAACGCAGGAGAAGGGCAGGCAUUGCCUGGAGAUAGAUGAUUACCACCCUAGUACGAGACUUUUAGUCGCUUGCAGUACAAAGGUACAGAACAUGGCUUACAGAA
rnacentral:RNase_P_RNA from 2 species